rnacentral:rRNA from 1 species
CCUACGGGAGGCAGCAGUGGGGAAUAUUGGGCAAUGGGCGCAAGCCUGACCCAGCAACGCCGCGUGAAGGAAGAAGGCUUUCGGGUUGUAAACUUCUUUUCUGAGGGACGAAGAAAGUGACGGUACCUCAGGAAUAAGCCACGGCUAACUACGUGCCAGCGGCCGCGGUAAUACGUAGGUGGCAAGCGUUAUCCGGAUUUAUUGGGUGUAAAGGGCGUGUAGGCGGGAAAGCAAGUCAGAUGUGAAAACUCAGGGCUCAACCCUGAGCCUGAUUUUGAAACUGUGUGUCUUGUGUGCUGGAGAGGCAAGCGGAAUUCCGGGUGUAGCGGGGAAAUGCGUAGAUAUUCGGAGGAACACCAGUGGCGAAGGCGGAGUGCUGGACAGUAACUGACGCUGAGGCGCGAAAGCGUGGGGAGCAAACAGGAUUAGAUACCCGUGUAGUC